GUUUUUUUUAAUAAAAUUUUAUGAUUGCACCUUAAUAACAUACUUUUAUUCAUAAAAACAUUGAAUUCGAACUAAAAAUUUACCUCUGCAAAUCAUAUAACCAAACGCAUAGAACGAAUGAAAUACGAGUUUCACUACCCGCCCCCAGGUGGCAUACAUACUUUAAGGCUAGGCAGGCUAAGUUGACUACUACUCUACAAUAGGUGGCGUUAAUGGACUACGAAAAACGACGUGAAAUGUUUACUUCUUUUUAUUUAUUUAUACUUUAAUGCCAAAAUUUUAACCUAAGGCGAACUUAAUCUCACAUUUAAUAAAUUAUACAUAAAUAAGUGUUUUGAGAAGUAGUAUUUUAAUCUAUGUUCUGUGAAUGACAAGUGUUAUCUGUCAAGUGUCAAAAAACUUGAAAAACUUUUACGAAGUUUGAUUUUUGUUAAAUUUGUUUAUAAACACAAUGCCAAAGGCAAGAAUAAUUGCCCACGCCAGAUGGAGACCCAGCUAAAUAAUGUAGUAACAGCGCGUGGUCGUGUGAUGAGGGUUCCUUGACUUGAGUUCUGGCGCAACACGUCCUGGGCACUAAACAAGAUUGGGGAUGGGACGUCUAAAGAGGUGCAAGCCUGGAAAACGCUCUCGUCUUGCUCUACAGCACUUGCACUUGUCCCACCAUCUACCAGUGUUGGAACUCUUCCAAUAAUUUCCCACACCCAGGUGGAGAAUACUCCAGUUACUGCUACUACUACUCUAAAAUAUCUCUCAUCUUGUUCUACAGCGCCUGCACCUGUCUUACCAUCUACCAGUGUUGGAACUCUUCGAAGUGUAUUAAUGAUUAUUAUUUUAGUAACCAUAAAAGUUUAAAACAAUACAUUUUAUUGCAUAAUUAUUUGUUAGCAAAAACGACAAGUACAAAUGAGUAGGGAGGCUGUUGAUUUUUCAUGGUUAUUUUAUAUCUUGUUGAUUGUUCCAAAAAAAAACUAAGUUUUCAAGAAUGCUGUGAUUAAAGUACCUAUAGUAUUAUAUUUAAAAUGAAAACUUAGUUUGUAAAGAGACGAAGGCUGACCACAAAAGAAGUACUUAUAGCUGUCUGUGUCUGUGUAAAGAAUUUAAAUAAAAAGAUGUGUAUAUUUAAA